rnacentral:misc_RNA from 1 species
AAGUCGUAACAAGGUAUCCGUAGGUGAACCUGCGGAUAGAUCAUUACCAAAGGAUUAAGUUCCACGUACUGUGAACAGUUUUGACUGACAGUGAGCGGUAGGGCAAACACUCGCUGACUCACUACCUACUCUACGUACUGUAAUUGUUUAGACUGAACUUCUUUAGUAUGAACUAAAGACAACUUUUAGCAAUGGAUCUCUUGGUUCUC